GGUUACAUCACGUUAAAAGACCAGUUGCUGUACGAUUACCGAAGUUAAACAACGUCGAGCCUGGGCAGUACCAAGAUGGGUGACGGCUUUGGAAUACUAAGUGUUGUAAU